UGGGCUGUAGCUCAGUGGUAGAGCACUCACCUGGCACAUGUGAGGCACUGGGUUUGAUCCUCAGCACCACAU
rnacentral:tRNA from 1 species